GGGAGCACUUAGCCUCAGCAGAAACUGCGAUACCCAAAAGAUCUCAGGGACAGGGGACAUCUGCUAGCCCUCUGCUGGGACACACCACGGCCACUUCUUGGUGGCCAUGGUCCCUGAUUCCCGGUGAAAUCCAUCCCUCCCAGGAGGGGGAGGGCAGGAGGGGAGAGGAGAUGACAGAUCCCUGUUUGCAUUCUUCAGAGGGAGCAGCUGCAAUUGUCUUACUCCAGUAUGUCAACAUGAAAUUAUGACAAAUCCGGCCGGGAUGGACUGGCAGAUGAAAACAAUAAGGAGGAAGCAGAGCAGAGGGAAGCUGGGAGGAAUGAAUGACACCUAAAACUCAAGAGGCCUUUACCAUCCUGGAGGAAUCUUUUGAAAAUUAACCUGAGAGCAGCUGGAAAAGGCUAGUCUGACACCUUUUCUUGUGAAUGGGACCCAGUCAGGAUCCCCACAGUGCCAGGAAGCACCCAACACUCUUACACUCUAUGUGAUGCCAGGCUUUGACCUUUGCAAAGGGUGAUAUCUCUUCUGGUCACCUGUGGGAGCCUCCCAUUCCCAUCAUGAGGAGACAGUGCCAGCAUGCAUCCAUGAGGGUUGAAAGAAGAAGCUUCUUUCCUGAAUUGCAGUCACACCAGUUCUGCUUUCCUGACUGCAGAGUCACAGCAGCUGUGGUGCAGCAGAGCAUCUGAAAAGAAAAUGCUAAUGGGGGUUUUUAUAGAGUACAGUAAAAGGCUCUGAUUUAAAAAAAAAAUAAUGCUACACCUCAAUGCUACCUCUAGCCCAGACUACUGCUUCUUGAGAGUUUCCUUCUAGAGACUGCAGUAGCUAAGCAGAAUCCAUAACCUCAUGUGCCAUCUCCCUGCCUGUCAUAACCACAGGCAAAGCUGGGUUAGUAAUUUUCUUUUGAGG
rnacentral:lncRNA from 1 species